GACGAACGCUGGCGGCGUGCUUAACACAUGCAAGUCGAACGGUGAAGCGCCUUCCUUUUUGGUUGGUGUGGAUGAGUGGCGAACGGUUGAGUAACACUUGAGUAACCUGCCCCCUGCUUCUGGAUAACCGCAUGAAAGUGUGGCUAAUACGGGAUAUUCUGGUUCUGUCGCAUGAUGGGUCUGUGAAAGAUAUUGUUUCGGUGGGGGAUGGGCUGGCGGCCUAUCAGCUUGUUGGUGGGGUGAUGGCCUACCAAGGCGGUGACGGGUAGCCGGCCUGAGGGGGUGGGCGCUCACACUGUGACUGAGAAAAUGCCCAGACUCAUACGGGCGGCAGCAGUGCGGAAUGUUGCACAAUGGGAGAAAGCCUGAUGCAGCGACGCCGCGUGAGGGAUGGCGGCCUUCGGGUUGUGAACCUCUUUCGCCAGUGAAGCAGGCGUGCCUCGUUUGUGGGUGGGUUGACGGUAGCUGGAUAAGAAGCGCCGGAGAAAUACG
rnacentral:rRNA from 1 species